CCUACGGGAGGCAGCAGUGAGGGAUAUUGGUCAAUGGGGGAAACCCUGAACCAGCAACGCCGCGUGAGGGAAGACGGUUUUCGGAUUGUAAACCUCUGUCCUCUGUGAAGAUAAUGACGGUAGCAGAGGAGGAAGCUCCGGCUAACUACGUGCCAGCAGCCGCGGUAAUACGUAGGGAGCAAGCGUUGUCCGGAUUUACUGGGUGUAAAGGGUGCGUAGGCGGGAUUGCAAGUCAGAGGUGAAAUCUGAUGGCUUAACCAUUGAACUGCAUUUGAAACUGUUAUUCUAGAGUAUGGGAGAGGGAGGGGGAACAGUGGGGGUAGGGGGAACAGCCGGAGAGAGGAAGAGGAAUAAUCAGGGCGAAGGGGACCUGGUAGAACA
rnacentral:rRNA from 1 species